GGUCCCUUCCAGCCCCAUACAAUCUAUGAAACAAUGUCUGGAAACAUUAUUCACAACUUGUCUUCAUAUGUCCCCUCUUGAUAUCAAGCAAUAACAGGAUAGCUCUUUUCCAGCACAGCAGGAUGGAGACUUUAACUGUUGGCUCACUUCUCUAAACUACAGGAACUGGCCUUAAUUUUUUUUUAACGACAGACUUAUGGCUCCUCUUGAAAGCAGUUCUUCAGGUAUUGGAGAAUAGCCUGCAUAUUUAACUUGUUAGAAAUCAGAAUAACAGACUGUUAUGUUCCUACUGUUACACAACAAUUGCAUUCUCUACACAGUUCAUAGCAGGAAUCCUUAAAUGUGUUAAUAACCCCCAGUAAAAAGAGUCUUUGAUAAGAAUCAGCUAGAGCUAAAAAGUUUUCUUGAGUGUCUAGUUAGGAGGUGUAAUUUUACCUAGUUCUCAUGUCAGUCACUUUGAUACAUUUUUAUCCCGUUUUUUUCUUAUAAUCUUACCAUUAUAUUUUAAUGAAAUUAACUAGGUAAUACGUAUUUGUGUACAUAAGCAUAGACUGAAAAUAAUAUAGUAUUAUAUAAAUGUCUCUUUUGCUGUUUCAGUCUGCCAUUCAUUCAUUCUCUCUUCUUCACACGCACCAGUUCAUCAAAAAGAUUUUUACAAAACUGUUUUCUACACAGUGCCAAAACUUUAUACUGUGUUCUCAUUAAAUGUGUAAACUUGUAUCAUGAAAGAAGAGUUACAGUAAGUUACAAUGCAUAAACAAAACUGAUUAGGUAAUUCUUGGGAAAAUAUUGGCAAUAAAAACUAUAAGAGAAUACUUAACCCUUUUUGCACCCCAAAAUAAUAUUUUUCAUUUUCUUUGAGAUGGAACCUGUUGUUAGGUGUUGUCAAGCAAACCACCAACUAUAAAUAUAAUUAAACUAACUGUACUCUUGAACAAAAAACUCACAUGGGAGAUGUGCUACACAUCACUUCAAGGAGGUCGAUUAAUUUGUUGUAAAUUUAAGUGUGGAAUUAAAAUGGGGAUUAUAAUGGGAAAUUAAUAUCAAUCUUAAAUGCUGUUAGUGACACAAUUACUGUAAUUGUAGAGAUUUGUAAAAUAUUGUAUUUAGUAGUAUGAAAAGUCUAGUAAUCCUCCUUUGCUUCUGUUGCCUUUAUUCUCUAUCAAUAAUCCCAGAAGAUAUAAGUACUUUGGCUAAAGAAAGAGAAUGGUAUUCAGAAUUAGCAACUGAACCGAUGAGUUUAUUGGGUUAUCUUUCUGUUAUUGAAUUAGCUGACUGAUCUUUCAACCUCAGUCUACCUGUGUGCAGAAAAGUUGUACUAUAUUUACCCACUUUUCAGGAAGAUUAUGAACCUGUGUAUUUUAUGGCAUGCUGACAUUCUUAGAUAAAUGCAAUGCUGGUUUAAUCCUGAUGUCAGUGUAGUCAAAACCUCACUGAUAUCAGCUUCCUUACCUCCCAAGGUCAUCAGUUAAUAUGCCUAAUUUUGCUCCAGUUGAUGUCAACUGGAGCAAAAUUAAGCCUGUUAGUUGAUGGUCUAAGAAGACAAGGUAUGGAAAUUAAUAACAAAGUAAAACAUUUAAAUCUACUGACUGUUUUCUGCUAUACAAGGUCUACAAAUAAGUUGUGUAGAUAACUACUUCCACACUUGCAAUUUAUAACAGAUUUGUAAAAUUAUUAAUUUACAAGCACUGUAUUCCUUUAUAAUCUCAGGGGAUGAUCUGACUAAGUGUCACUUAAAUUAGAAAAGCAUUUACCUGAAAGGCAGGUCUGCAAUGUCACUCAGGAUCUACUCCAGACAAUGAGGGAGAUAAACAAACAAACAAACAAGGGGACAGUUAACCUUUCUACUGCAGAUCUUUGUUUUAUUAGCAUUGUUCAUCUUGAAUUAAUUAAAACCUGAAAACUCUACUAUACUCAUCUGGGAACUAAAUAUCUCAAACUGUGUUCAACUCAAAUUUCUAAUUUAACAGAUUGUUUUUGGUUGUUUUGGAAAAGUUCACCAACAAAACCUACAUGAUCCUUAUCCACAUCAUGCAUUUUUAAAUGGAUGAACUGUCAAAAGAAUUUAUCAUAUGAUAUAUAUGAUAUGACAUAUUUGGAAGAUAUUUCACUUAGAUAUGAACUUUAAAUGUUACCUAUUAUUUUCUGUGAAAUGACAAGUUAACAAUUAUAAAUAUUUAAAGUUUGAAGAU